rnacentral:ncRNA from 1 species
UAUGGCGGGUGCUGGCGUGCGUCUGGGCAACCUGCAAAAGUUUGUUGAGGCGGGAAUCGAAGAGGUCCACAGCUCGGCUGGCCAGAGCGUUCCUUCGGUGAUGCGUUACCGUAAAGCAGGCGUGUCGAUGAGUGCGGACGCCGAGGCUGAUGAAUUUAAUCGCUACUGCGUGGAUGGCGACGUAGUGGCCGCAAUGAAAGCCGUGCUGGCUGCUGCCAAAACAGCAGCCUGACGCGCAACAGGUUUUAACCGCGCAUCAUGUCGCCCAAUGUGAUGUUUGCUAGUACCAGGCCCCGGUGUUUUACCGGGGCUUUUUUU